rnacentral:rRNA from 1 species
AUACGGAGGGUCCAAGCGUUAUCCGGAUUCAUUGGGUUUAAAGGGUCCGCAGGCGGGAAAAUAAGUCAGUGGUGAAAGCCUACAGCUCAACUGUAGAACUGCCAUUGAUACUGUUUUUCUUGAGUAUACAUGAAGUGGGCGGAAUAUAUCAUGUAGCGGUGAAAUGCAUAGAUAUGAUAUAGAACACCGAUUGCGAAGGCAGCUCACUAAACUAUUACUGACGCUCAGGGACGAAAGCGUGGGGAGCGAACAGAAUUAGAAACCCUAGUAGUCC